GGUGAUAUCGUAUAGUGGCUAGUACAACACGUUGUGGUCCUCUGGAUAAUAGACGCCUGUCUGCCCCGUGUAAACUUGGGUUCGAUUCCCAAUAUCGCCA